ensembl:lncRNA
CCCCGAGCCCACGCAGGCCCUGGCCUGCUGGCGGCGGAGACGUGGCACCGGUUCGUGGCCGUAUCCGCUUGAGGUUCCUGGAGACGCCCGCCCCGGGGGAGAGCAGCGCGAGGCACUACCCUGCGGGGAAUAGGGAACACGGCGGCUGGCAAGGAACGACGAAAGGAUCAGUAAAGAGGAUGGACUUGUUAGCAAAGCAAAUAGCAAUACCGCAUGAUCUUCUGACCCCACGUCUCUCACACGACUGAUGUCUUACUACUCUACCUUUCAGUCCUUUACAUUCGGAACAGCUAUUUUGGAAGAUGCUUAUGCACCAGUUGCCAGGAAGAAAUUUUGAAGGUCAAUAUUUUCCCAGCCCAACCUUGAACAAGCUCACCCACCCACUGCAACAAAGAGCCUUUGUAACCAUCAGUCAAAAGACACUGAUACAGAAGAACUUUGUCUGACCCCCAACUCUACAGAGCUUUACCACAGCUGGACCUUUGGGGAUAAGGGCUGGAGGAGAAGAAAAUAAAUGAUCUAUGAAAGAAACAGGACAUCUGGGUCUCAUUCAAACAUCUGAGGAAAUGGAAAAGAUUUUCUUUCCUAAAUGAAAGUUCUGAACUAACUGAAUUGAAAAAAAAAAAA